UACAGAGGUCCCGAGCGUUGUUCGGAUUCACUGGGCGUAAAGGGUGCGUAGGUGGCUUGGAAAGUUUGAUGUGAAAGCUCAGGGCUUAACCCUGAAAUGGCAUUGAAUACUGCCGGGCUGGAGGUUUGGAGGGGGGACUGGAAUUCUUGGUGUAGCAGUGAAAUGCGUAGAUAUCAAGUGGAACACCAGUGGCGAAGGCGAGUCCCUGGACAACACCUGACACUGAGGCACGAAAGCUAGGGGAGCAAACAGG
rnacentral:rRNA from 1 species